UAAAAUUUAUAUUCCUAAAACCGGAUCGAUACAGCGUUUUCCAUUUUCGUCUUCUACGUUAUUGUUGUUCACGAUCAUCUUCAACGAUACGUGCUCCGAAAUCCAGUCCACCGAACGAAAAACUAAGAACUGUCGGGUAUUCGAAGAUACAAAUCAAACUUGUUUUUAAAUAUUAUAACAAUGUACAAAGUCUGAACGUGCAGGUAGUUUCAUCAACAAGAACUUUCAUUUUAUCAAUAAAAUGGAAAACAAAAUGAAAUUUAAGAAUCCAAAAUAGAAAAAUGAUUAUGGUGCUCAUUACAAAUUUACAUUUAGUACCUGUACGCUGAGCGACAGACUACGUGAUACAUUAAUUGAAAAUUGCAAAAAAAGUUUUUCAAAAUUAUAUUGUGAAUCAAAGCCGAGAUACGCUUUAAUACGUUGCAAGUGAAAGAGGGUUGAAGGAGAACAUCCCUGCCGUUUACCAGAUAAAAUCCAUUAAAUGGUACGACUUUUUGUGGAAGUAAAAAUGUAAGUGUAACUUGGAGAAUAUAAUAUUUUAAAAACAUAAGUGGUGAGUAAUAUAUGUAUUAUAUUAAUAUGAUAGACCAAAUGCGAAAUGUAAUAAAAAAAAAAUAAUAUACCUAAAUUAGUAUUUUAAUAUAAAAUAAUAAAAUUAAGCUUCAAUAUAUUCAUAA